UUUCUCUCUUCGCCUGCUGCCGUCCAUGUAAGAUGGGACUUGCUCCUCUUUGCCUUCCACCAUGAUUGUGAGGCUUCCUCAGCCACGUGGAACUAUGCCCUGACCUUCCGGGAAACCCUCGGUGAGAGGCCCACAGCCUCGCUUCUAGGGUCACCACCGCUUCUUCCAGUCUAGCCAAACAGCUCCUAGUACAGCUCAGAGCACCCUGCAAGGAGGGCACGUGUUAAAUCGAGGAGCACACAUGCUCCACGAGGAAUUCUUUGCUUUGAGGCCACGCACAGAGGUGGGUUCACUAUGAAGCUUGUGAAAUAAGCUUCAGGGCCCGCAUUUGCAUGGGCCACAGAGAGUCUGGGAGCUGCAGAAGGUUCAAGGGAAGAGGAGCCAUCACAAGCAGAAUAUUCUAGAAGGCAUUUCUGGCAAAUGGCCCAAAGAGGCCUCAGGAGAAAAGAACUUGAGUCUUCAAGGUAACCUGCGACUUUUUUGUCUCAUUAUAAAUAUCAACUUUCAUGCCUAAUUUUUAUAA
rnacentral:antisense_RNA from 1 species